rnacentral:rRNA from 1 species
UUCCUACGGGAGGCAGCAGUGAGGAAUAUUGGUCAAUGGGAGAGAUCCUGAACCAGCCAAGCCGCGUGAGGGAAGACGGCCCCAUGGGUUGUAAACCUCUUUUGUCGGAGAACAAAACCCGGGACGUGUCCCGGACUGCGUGUAUCCGAAGAAAAAGCAUCGGCUAACUCCGUGCCAGCAGCCGCGGUAAUACGGAGGAUGCGAGCGUUAUCCGGAUUUAUUGGGUUUCAAGGGUGCGUAGGCGGUCCGUUAAGUCACCGGUAAAAUUGCGGGGAUCAACCCCGUCCAGCCGUUGGAACUGGCAG